AUACGUAGGUGGCAAGCGUUAUCCGGAUUUACUGGGUGUAAAGGGCGUGUAGGCGGUCUCAUAAGUCAGAUGUGAAAUUCCCGGGCUUAACCCGGGCGCUGCAUCUGAAACUGUGGGACUUGAGUACUGGAGAGGAUAGUGGAAUUCCUAGUGUAGCGGUAAAAUGCGUAGAUAUUAGGAGGAACACCGGUGGCGAAGGCGACUAUCUGGACAGUAACUGACGCUGAGGCGCGAAAGCGUGGGGAGCAAACAGGAUUAGAUACCCUGGUAGUCCACGCCGUAAACGAUGGAUACUAGGUGUAGGGGGUAUCGACCCCCCCUGUGCCGGAGUUGACACAAUAAGUAUCCCACCUGGGGAGUACGGCCGCAAGGCUGAA
rnacentral:rRNA from 1 species